rnacentral:miRNA from 1 species
GAACGUCAGGCUGACACAAU